rnacentral:lncRNA from 1 species
UCCAAAGUAGAAAAGCAAUAGAAAUAGUUAAACAAAAGAUAUGAAUACUUGAAAAAAUAUUACAACUAAAAUUGUACAUUACAAAUUUAACUAGAAGUAGCAAAAUGAAUCUCAUAGUGAUGUGAUAAACCUGUAAAAAAAUAUAAACAAUAUAAAUAAAUAAAUCAAAUAAUUAAAAUAUUUAGUAUAUAAUAAAAAUAUCAAAUAGUUAAACUUACAUUAUAGGAUGCACUUUAAGGAACAGGUUGAUCAUCCUGUUCUGGAUCAUACUCAUGAUCGAAUUGUGUUGUGCUAUUGGAAGUAGUUUU